rfam:Dipodomys ordii contig_63820, whole genome shotgun sequence.
GGUGGCUCAGUGGUAGAGUGCUUGCCUUGCAUGCAUGAAGCCCUGGGUUCAAUUCCUCAGCACCA